rnacentral:rRNA from 1 species
GUAGGGAAUCUUGCGCAAUGGGCGAAAGCCUGACGCAGCCAUGCCGCGUGAAUGAUGAAGGUCUUAGGAUUGUAAAAUUCUUUCACCGGGGACGAUAAUGACGGUACCCGGAGAAGAAGCUCCGGCUAACUUCGUGCCAGCAGCCGCGGUAAUACGAAGGGGGCUAGCGUUGCUCGGAAUUACUGGGCGUAAAGGGCGCGUAGGCGGACAGCUUAGUCAGAGGUGAAAGCCCAGGGCUCAACCUUGGAAUUGCCUUUGAUACUGGCGAUCUUGAGUAUGAGAGAGGUAUGUGGAACUCCGAGUGUAGAGGUGAAAUUCGUAGAUAUUCGGAAGAACACCAGUGGCGAAGGCGACAUACUGGCUCAUUACUGACGCUGAGGCGCGAAAGCGUGGGGAGCAAACAGGAUUAGAUACCCCAGUAGUCC